UGGCUCAGGAUGAACGCUGGCGGCGCGCUUAACACAUGCAAGUCGAACGAGAUGAGUGGCUUCGGUCAUGAAUCUAGUGGCGGACGGGUGAGUAACGCGUGGACAACUUGCCUUAUAGUGGGGGAUAGCCGAAAGAAAUUUCGAUUAAUACCGCAUAAUACAAUUUGGUUGCAUGAUCAGAUUGGGAAAGGCUUCGGUCGCUAAAAGAAAGGUCCGCGUCUGAUUAGCUAGUUGGUGUGGUAACGGCAUACCAAGGCAACGAUCAGUAGCUGGUUUGAGAGAAUGAACAGCCACAUUGGGACUGAGAUACGGCCCAGACUCCUACGGGAGGCAGCAGUGGGGAAUAUUGCGCAAUGGAGGAAACUCUGACGCCAGCGACGCCGUGUAAAGGAUGAAGGCCUUCGGGUUGUAAACUUAUAUCGAUUGUGAAAAGCAAGGAUGGUAGCAAAGUAAGAAGCUCCGGCUAACUACGUGCCAGCCGCUGC
rnacentral:rRNA from 1 species